GGGUCCGUGGCGUAGUGGUUAUCGCGUUUGUCUUACAAUUUAUUGGUGCACAAAAGGUCCCCAGUUCGAUCCUGGGUGGGCUCA